rnacentral:rRNA from 1 species
GCCUACGGGGGGCAGCAGUAGGGAAUCUUCCACAAUGGGCGAAAGCCUGAUGGAGCAACGCCGCGUGGGUGAAGAAGGUCUUCGGAUCGUAAAACCCUGUUGUUAGAGAAGAAAGUGCGUGAGAGUAACUGUUCACGUUUCGACGGUAUCUAACCAGAAAGCCACGGCUAACUACGUGCCAGCAGCCGCGGUCAUACGUAGGUGGCAAGCGUUAUCCGGAUUUAUUGGGCGUAAAGGGAACGCAGGCGGUCUUUUAAGUCUGAUGUGAAAGCCUUCGGCUUAACCGGAGUAGUGCAUUGGAAACU